GAUGAACGCUGGCGGCGUGCUUAACACAUGCAAGUCGAACGGAAAGGCUCCUGCUUGCAGGGGUACUCGAGUGGCGAACGGGUGAGUAACACGUGGGUGAUCUGCCCUGCACUUCGGGAUAAGCCGGGGAAACUGGGUCUAAUACCGGAUAGGACGAUGGUUUGGAUGCCAUUGUGGAAAGUUUUUCGGUGUGGGAUGAGCUCGCGGCCUAUCAGCUUGUUGGUGGGGUAAUGGCCUACCAAGGCGUCGACGGGUAGCCGGCCUGAGAGGGUGUACGGCCACAUUGGGACUGAGAUACGGCCCAGACUCCUACGGGAGGCAGCAGUGGGGAAUAUUGCACAAUGGGCGCAAGCCUGAUGCAGCGACGCCGCGUGGGGGAUGACGGCCUUCGGGUUGUAAACUCCUUUCGUCAGGGACGAAGCGAAAGUGACGGUACCUGGAUAAGAAGCACCGGCUAACUACGUG
rnacentral:rRNA from 1 species